UACGUAGGGUGCGAGCGUUGUCCGGAUUUAUUGGGCGUAAAGAGCUCGUAGGCGGCUCGUCGCGUCGACCGUGAAAACCCGCGGCUUAACUGCGGGCUUGCGGUUGAUACGGGCGGGCUAGAGUUCGGUAGGGGAGACUGGAAUUCCUGGUGUAGCGGUGGAAUGCGCAGAUAUCAGGAGGAACACCGGUGGCGAAGGCGGUUCUCUGGGCCUUACCUGACGCUGAGGAGCGAAAGCGUGGGGAGCGAACAGG
rnacentral:rRNA from 1 species